rnacentral:rRNA from 1 species
AUUGAACGCUGGCGGCAUGCUUUACACAUGCAAGUCGAACGGUAACAGGGAGCUUGCUCCGCUGACGAGUGGCGAACGGGUGAGUAAUAUAUCGGAACGUGCCCAAGAGUGGGGGAUAACGUAGCGAAAGUUACGCUAAUACCGCAUACGAUCCAAGGAUGAAAGCAGGGGACCUUCGGGACUUGUGCUCCUGGAGGGGCCGAUAUCUGAUUAGCUAGUUGGUGAGGUAAAGGCUCACCAAGGCGACGAUCAGUAGCUGGUCUGAGAGGACGACCAGCCACACUGGAACUGAGACACGGUCCAGACUCCUACGGGAGGCAGCUGUGGGGAAUUUUGGACAAUGGGGGCAACCCUGAUCCAGCAAUGCCGCGUGAGUGAAGAAGGCCUUCGGGUUGUAAAGCUCUUUUGUCAGGGAAGAAAAGGGUACGGCUAAUAUCCGUGCCUCAUGACGGUACCUGAAGAAUAAGCACCGGCUAACUACGUGCCAGCCGCCGCAGUAA